CAGAGGACAUAUUUGCAUGACAGGGGUCCUUCUUGAUCUCAGCAGGGUUUAAGAAAGGAGGUGGAAGCUCCCAUCCGAUUACUUGGUUAAUUCACAACGUCAAAGUCCUUUGGAGAACUCGCCAUGGCCUGGGCUCUGUUUUUCUUUGCACUUCUCAGUUACUGCUCAGCUGUCAGUUCUCAGAGUGUAACCCAGCCUGCCUCCGCGUCUGGGUCCCUGGGCCAAACAGUGAAAAUCUCCUGCAGAAAAAGCAGUGGAGGGAGCUGGGACAGCCACUUCUCGUGGUAUCAACAGAAACCUGGACAGGCCCCCCGCUUUUUGUAUUACAGCAGCAGGGGAGAAGGGAUCCCGGAUCGGUUCACUGGUUCCACCUCUGGGGACAAUGGUGAUUUAACCAUCACCAAUGUUCAGCCCAACGAUGAGGCAGAUUAUUACUGUGGAAGGUGGUCCUACACUGGUGGUACCACGUUCCACAGUGAUACAGUUGAAUGGGGAACUGAGACAAAAACCUCGUCUCCUCCUCCUCAGAGUAGGCAACCAAGAAUACCAACCAAGCUUGAUGCGAUCACUGCCUAA